AGAGUUUGAUCCUGGCUCAGAACGAACGCUGGCGGCAUGCCUAACACAUGCAAGUCGAACGGGAUCCGAGCUUCGGUUCGGUGAGAGUGGCGAACGGGUGAGUAACGCGUGGGAACCUGCCCAGAGGUACGGAAUAACAGUUGGAAACGACUGCUAAUACCGUAUGAGCCCGAGAGGGGAAAGAUUUAUCGCCUUUGGAGGGGCCCGCGUCAGAUUAGGUAGUUGGUGGGGUAAAGGCCUACCAAGCCUACGAUCUGUAGCUGGUCUUAGAGGAUGAUCAGCCACACUGGGACUGAGAUACGGCCCAGACUCCUACGGGAGGCAGCAGUGGGGAAUAUUGGACAAUGGGGGCAACCCUGAUCCAGCAAUGCCGCGUGAGUGAUGAAGGCCUUCGGGUUGUAAAGCUCUUUUGCCAGGGACGAUGAUGACGGUACCUGGAGAAUAAGCCCCGGCUAACUUCGUGCCAGCAGCCGCGGUAAUACGAAGGGGGCUAGCGUUGUUCGGAAUUACUGGGCGUAAAGGGCGCGUAGGCGGUUUGAUUAGUCAGAUGUGAAAUUCCCGGGCUUAACCUGGGCGCUGCAUUUGAUACUGUCAGGCUUGAAUUCGGGAGAGGAUAGCGGAAUUCCCAGUGUAGAGGUGAAAUUCGUAGAUAUUGGGAAGAACACCGGUGGCGAAGGCGGCUAUCUGGACCGACAUUGACGCUGAGGCGCGAAAGCGUGGGGAGCAAACAGGAUUAGAUACCCCCGUAGUCC
rnacentral:rRNA from 1 species